CAGUGAGAACAGUGCACAGGAGCAUAUCAGAGGAAGGCAGUGACACCUCACCUGCUGAGGAGCCCAUCUCCCAGCAAAGAUCUAGCAGGGAAAAUAGACUCAAUAAUUGCUCUCUUUCUUCUCUUUUUACCUUUUCUCCUGUCACGACCUUGCUCAGCAACAUGGGGAAAAAGGGAUCCUUGAGGAAGUGGCCUGGUCACUUCUCCAGCAUAGCAGUUCUUCUCCAAGUGCUACUUCAAGCACACAUGCUUCCAGGAACCAGAUUUACCCCCAUCUGCAAAGGCUCCAGAGGUGACCUGUGAAAACCAUCAUCUGAUUCUUCCACUUCCUUCUGAGGGCCCCAACUCUCCUUUCCUUGAUGACCAUCUUGAAGGGCAAGUCUCGUGGCUGGCUGCCUUGUGCUACUGUGCAGUGGCCUUCUCACUUCUCCAUGACCUUCCUCCCUGAUGUUAAGC